CCUACGGGUGGCUGCAGUGGGGAAUAUUGGACAAUGGGGGGAACCCUGAUCCAGCCAUGCCGCGUGUGUGAAGAAGGCCCUCGGGUUGUAAAGCACUUUCAGUGAGGAAGAACGCCUGGUGGUUAAUACCCAUCAGGAAAGACAUCACUCACAGAAGAAGCACCGGCUAACUCCGUGCCAGCAGCCGCGGUAAUACGGAGGGUGCGAGCGUUAAUCGGAAUUACUGGGCGUAAAGCGCGCGUAGGUGGCUUGAUAAGCCGGUUGUGAAAGCCCCGGGCUCAACCUGGGAACGGCAUCCGGAACUGUCAAGCUAGAGUGCAGGAGAGGAAGGUAGAAUUCCCGGUGUAGCGGUGAAAUGCGUAGAGAUCGGGAGGAAUACCAGUGGCGAAGGCGGCCUUCUGGACUGACACUGACAGUGAGGUGCGAAAGCGUGGGUAGCAAACAGGAUUAGAUACCCGGGUAGUC
rnacentral:rRNA from 1 species